AGAGUCGAUCGGACAGUCGCUGCCGUCUUUUGUUCCGCAAAAGUCGGGGGAGGAAAGUCCGGGCUCCAUAGGGCAGAGUGCCAGGUAACGCCUGGGAGGCGCGAGCCUACGGAAAGUGCCACAGAAAACAACCGCCUAAGCACUUCGGUGCCGGUAAGGGUGAAAAGGUGCGGUAAGAGCGCACCGCACGGCUGGCAACAGUCCG
rnacentral:RNase_P_RNA from 1 species